CAUGGAGCCAGCCACCAGGUCAGACAUGCUGAAUCUUUCCCGGGUUGAGCAGCCAGGAACAAACAAGAGGCCUCCUACUACAAUGUGCAAUGCAGGUUGUUGACGGAGAAAAAUGCACCAUUGCUCUUAUCCAUCUGUUGUUAUGGGAUUCCCCUCUGUAUGCUGUCAAUAUGUUUUAUUACCAUUGAUUAAUAAAAAAGCUACUUUGGA